CACCCACUUCAGAGGCAGCUGGAUUAAAGAUUUCUCGUGGUCUGAAACUUAUGAUGCUCAAUUUUGGCUCAAGAAGAAUGACUCAAAGGCUGUGAAGAUGAUGAAACAGGAAGAAGACUUUGCGUGUACCUUCAUCGAAGAAGCAAACUGCAAAAUUCUAGAGAUGCCUUACAGCGGGGAGGAAGUGAGCAU